rnacentral:misc_RNA from 1 species
AAGUCGUAACAAGGUUUCCGUAGGUGAACCUGCGGAAGGAUCAUUAACACGUAUCCAACGUUAAAACCCCCCGGUAAAUCAUCGCCGAACAGUUUUGAUUCAGGGACUUCUGCGUGGGUAGGACAACUGCGCGAGCAAGUGGCCUGGCAUCCCUCUGCUUGUUAGUGUCUGAAAGUGUCACUAGCUCUGUACGGGUGGCGCAAUCACGAUCGCUAGAGGCCAACACGGCCGGCGACCGGGUCAAUGGGCCCUCGGCCCCCUAAUCACCUUUGCAUGAAAACGGGCCUGCGCUUAAUUGUGCGGCCACCAAACUCGAACAACUGUUAACAAUGGAUAUCUUGGUUCUC